CCUUCCCUUCUACAUGUUGACUAUAUGUUCCAUCUUUCAGUCAUCAUUACUUUCCCUUAGUGUUACCACAAUUGUGAUGAGAAGAGGGAAGACAUCAUUUACAUAAUCAUCCGCAUGUAUUUGCAUAAGUUAUAAAUCUCUCUGAAAGAGUGAGAGGACAGCCCAGAGAGCCCCAGGAGAGACGUCUGGGCUUCGGGCACUGGGGCUGCUGGAGGGUGAGACCGUGAGGUCAUCACCAGAAAGAGGAGCAGGGGAAAGAAGGGCAGCCAGCAUUGCAAAGGAAUUGAACUGGAGGAAAGUGGGAAAAGAUGGUCACAUCCUGAGCCAAAGCAGGAAGAUGGAGUUAAGAUUUUAUGAGUUGAUUUAUGUUUACCUUGCAAACGGUCUCCGGUAUACUGCCCAGGCCUGGCACAUGGGGAACGCUCAAAGGAUAUGGUGGAGAUGAAAAACGCAUCUGGCUUCAUAAGCUGGAUGCUGCCUCGGUGCUUAAAGGCUGGAGGAGCGCUGACCAGAGCCCCGUCUUCAUGGGUUGCAUGCGGUACCUCAGCUGCCUCAUUCAUUAUCCAUGAAUCAGUCAUUGUAUCCCAGACUGUUCUUCACUGUCA